CACCGGGGUGUGGUUCCGGGUCGUAGCGCGGCUCGGGGCAACAGGGCUGCUGCUCGGCGGGCCGGCGGCGGCGAGCAGCAGGGGCAUGAGGGUGAACCCGGGAAGCUGCAGCUGAGCGGGCCGGGAGGAGCGCCGGUCCCGUGGAUCCCAAGAGUGCAGAGCUCGGGGCAGGGGCCGGGAGGCGUGGGGGAGCCGGGCCCUCCCCUCAGGAACGUGUCCUGGGGCCGACCCGGCCCGUAGUGAGGAAGCAGCUUCAGUUUACACACCUGCAAGAUUUCUGGAGCCUAUGGGGCAUGCUGGUAGCCCCUUUCCUGUUCAGCUGUGUGCUCAUACCUACCUUCAGCUAAUGUAGGUGAGCUCGUGAAACAAUAUGAAGAGGAGAAAAUAGCCUUUUAAGGAAAUUGGCCCACAGAAAGGAUGGCCUUCUUGGACAAUCCAACUAUCAUUCUAGCUCAUAUUCGACAGUCACAUGUGACCAGUGAUGACACAGGAAUGUGUGAGAUGGUUCUCAUUGAUCAUGAUGUUGACCUAGAGAAGAUUCAUCCUCCUUCAAUGCCUGGAGACAGUGGGUCAGAAAUUCAGGGAAGCAAUGGUGAGACUCAGGGCUAUGUGUAUGCCCAGUCAGUCGAUAUUACCUCAAGUUGGGACUUUGGUAUUAGAAGACGCUCAAACACAGGUAAA